rnacentral:rRNA from 1 species
GACGUCAAAUCAUCAUGCCCCUUAUGUCUUGGGCUUCACGCAUGCUACAAUGGUUGGUACAGAGGGUUGCGAUACUGUGAGGUGGAGCGAAUCCCUUAAAGCCAGUCUCAGUUCGGAUUGGGGUCUGCAACUCGACCCCAUGAAGGUGGAGUCGCUAGUAAUCGCAGAUCAGCAACGCUGCGGUGAAUACGUUCUCGGGCCUUGUACACACCGCCCGUCACGUCACGAAAGUUGGUAACACCCGAAGCCCAUGGCCUAACCGCGUUUGUGGGGGGAGUGGUCGAAGGUGGGAUUGGCGAUUGGGACGAAGUCGUAACAAGGUAGCCGUACCGGAAGGUGCGGCUGGAUCACCUCCUUUCUAGGG